rnacentral:rRNA from 1 species
AUGAUGUCGCGGUCGUAUACCAACCUGCUCGAUCUCGCCGAGGGCAACUUCGCCGCGCUCGGCCCGGCCGGCGGCGGGGCGCGGCGGAGGUCGGGCUCGUUCGGGAUGAAGCGGAUGUCGCGGGUCAUGACGGUGCCGGGGACGCUGUCGGAGCUCGACGGGGAGGACGAGUCGGAGCCGGCCGCCACCAACAGCGUCGCCUCCGACGUGCCCUCCUCGGUGUCGGGCGAGCGCCUGCUCGUCGUCUCCAACCAGCUCCCAAUCCUCGCGCGCCGCCGCCCCGACGGCCGCGGCUGGUCCUUCUCCUGGGACGACGACUCGCUGCUCCUCCAGCUCCGCGACGGCAUUCCCGACGAGAUGGAGGUGCUCUUCGUCGGCGGCGUGCGCGCCGACAUCCCCCUCGCCGAGCAGGACGAGGUCUCGCAGGCGCUGUACGACCGCUUCCGCUGCGUCGCGGUGUUCCUCCCCGAGUCCCUCCACGACCGCUUCUACCACAGCUUCUGCAAGCGCCAGCUCUGGCCUCUCUUCCACUACAUGCUCCCCUUCGCCUCCUCCGCGUCCACAGCAACCUCCUCCUCCUCCUCCUCAUCGUCGGCUCCCCCGGCUGGCAACGGCCGCUUCGACCGCGGCUCGUGGGAGGCAUACGUGCUCGCCAACAAGUUCUUCUUCGAGAAGGUCGUGGAGGUCAUCAACCCGGAGGACGACUAUGUGUGGGUCCACGACUACCACCUCAUGGCGCUUCCCACCUUCCUCCGCCGCCGCUUCAACCGCCUCCGCAUCGGCUUCUUCCUCCACAGCCCAUUCCCCUCGUCGGAGAUCUACCGCACCCUGCCUGUCCGCGAGGAGAUCCUAAAGGCGCUGCUCAAUUGUGAUCUCAUUGGCUUCCACACUUUCGAUUACGCCAGGCAUUUCCUCUCAUGCUGCAGUAGGAUGCUGGGAAUCGAAUACCAGUCCAAGCGUGGGUACAUUGGAUUGGAGUACUUUGGCCGCACUGUUGGGAUCAAAAUCAUGCCAGUGGGAAUUCAUAUGGAUCAGUUGCAGGCGGUUCUGUGCUUGCCGGACAGGCAGUGGAGAGUUUCCGAGCUGCAGCAGCAGUUUGAGGGGAAGACUGUGUUGCUCGGUGUGGAUGAUAUGGACAUCUUUAAAGGGAUCAAUCUGAAGCUUCUUGCCUUUGAGAAUAUGCUGAGGACGCACCCCAAGUGGCAGGGACGAGCAGUGUUGGUGCAGAUUGCAAAGCCAGUCCGUGGGAAGGGUAAAGAUCUGGAAGCCAUCGAAGCUGAGAUUCGUGAGAGCUACAAUAGGAUCAAUGGAGAGUUUGGCCGGUCCGGGUACAGCCCUGUUGUUUUUAUUGAUAGGGAUGUGUCUAGUGUGGAGAAGAGUGCCUACUAUACGAUCGCGGAAUGUGUGGUAGUGACCGCAGUAAGGGAUGGGAUGAACUUGACACCAUAUGAAUACAUCGUCUGUAGGCAGGGGACACCUAGGUCGGAGUCCUCAUCGGAGGUGACUGGGCCGAAGAAGAGCAUGCUCGUGGUGUCAGAGUUCAUUGGGUGCUCACCGUCUUUGAGUGGUGCUAUUCGGGUUAACCCAUGGAAUGUAGAGGCAACUGCAGAGGCGAUGAAUGAGGCCAUUUCAAUGUCUGAUCAGGAGAAGCAGCUGAGGCACGAGAAGCACUACCGUUAUGUCAGCACUCAUGAUGUUGCUUAUUGGUCGAAGAGCUUCAUCCAGGACUUGGAGAGGGCUUGCAAGGACCAUUUUAGAAGGACAUGCUGGGGCAUUGGAUUGGGAUUUGGUUUCAGGGUGGUGGCCUUAGACCCUCAUUUCACAAAGCUUAACAUGGAUUCUAUUGUUAUGGCUUACGAGAGGUCAGAGAGCAGAGCUAUAUUUCUUGAUUAUGAUGGAACAUUGGUGCCUCAGACUUCCAUCAACAAGACACCUAGUGCAGAAGUUCUGAGGAUUAUCAAUACCCUCUGCUCAGAUGAAAGGAACAUAGUUUUUAUUGUCAGCGGGAGAGGCAGGGAUAAAUUGGGCGAAUGGUUUUCCUCGUGUCCGAAGCUGGGUAUUGCAGCUGAACAUGGCUACUUCUUAAGGUGGAGUAGAGAUGAAGAGUGGCAAACGUGCGCCCAGGCUUCGGACUUCGGAUGGAUGGAAAUGGCUGAACCAGUGAUGAAUUUGUAUACAGAAUCAACUGAUGGAUCCUACAUUGAGACCAAGGAAAGUGCUUUGGUGUGGCACCAUCAGGAUGCUGACCCAGGCUUUGGAUCCUCACAGGCCAAAGAGAUGCUUGAUCACCUGGAGAGUGUACUGGCAAAUGAACCAGUCUCUGUCAAGAGUGGCCAGUUUAUUGUUGAAGUCAAACCUCAGGGAGUAAGCAAGGGAGUAAUAGCUGAAAAGAUACUGAUAUCAAUGAAAGAGAGAGGAAAGCAGGCCGACUUUGUAUUGUGUAUUGGUGAUGAUAGGUCUGACGAAGACAUGUUUGAAAACAUUGCGGACAUAAUCAAAAGGGGCAUGGUUGCCCCCAAAACACCAUUGUUUGCAUGCACUGUGGGACAAAAACCAAGCAAAGCAAAAUUCUACCUGGAUGAUACGUUUGAAGUGGCCACCAUGCUGAGCGCACUGGCGGAGGCAACAGAUCCUGAGCCUAUGACUGGCUACACCGAUGAGUUAGCUACGUCUAUGUCCUCAAUUGAUAUUGGUGGUGAACAAAGUCAGUCAAGGGGUAGACCUUUCGAUGGAUUGUAG